UACGGAGGGUGCAAGCGUUAUCCGGAUUCACUGGGUUUAAAGGGUGCGUAGGUGGAUUAGUAAGUCAGUGGUGAAAUCUCCGGGCUUAACCCGGAAACUGCCAUUGAUACUAUUAGUCUUGAAUACCGUGGAGGUCAGCGGUAUAUGUCAUGUAGCGGUGAAAUGCUUAGAUAUGACAUAGAACACCAAUUGCGAAGGCAGCUGGCUACACGAGCAUUGACACUCAGGCACGAAAGCGUGGGGAU
rnacentral:rRNA from 1 species